rnacentral:rRNA from 1 species
ACUCCUACGGGAGGCAGCAGUGGGGAAUAUUGCACAAUGGGGGAAACCCUGAUGCAGCCAUGCCGCGUGUGUGAAGAAGGCCUUCGGGUUGUAAAGUACUUUCAGCAGUGAGGAAGGUGGGUAUGUUAAUAGCAUACUCAUUUGACGUUAGCUGCAGAAGAAGCACCGGCUAACUCCGUGCCAGCAGCCGCGGUAAUACGGAGGAUCCAAGCGUUAUCCGGAAUCAUUGGGUUUAAAGGGUCCGUAGGCGGUUUUAUAAGUCAGUGGUGAAAUCCGGCAGCUCAACUGUCGAACUGCCAUUGAUACUGUAGAACUUGAAUUAUUGUGAAGUAACUAGAAUAUGUAGUGUAGCGGUGAAAUGCUUAGAGAUUACAUGGAAUACCAAUUGCGAAGGCAGGUUACUAACAAUAUAUUGACGCUGAUGGACGAAAGCGUGGGUAGCGAACAGGAUUAGAUACCCUGGUAGGAAAGCGU